rnacentral:rRNA from 1 species
UACGGAGGAGGCAAGCGUUAUCCGGAAUUAUUGGGCGUAAAGCGUCCGUAGGUGGCUCUUCAAGUCUGCUGUCAAAGAGUGGGGCUUAACCCUGCAAAGGCAGUGGAAACUGAAAGGCUAGAGAGCCGUAGGGGUAGAGGGAAUUCCCGGUGUAGCGGUGAAAUGCGCAGAUAUCGGGAAGAACACCCGUGGCGAAGGCGGCUCUCUGGGACGGUACUGACGCUGAGACGCGAAAGCGUGGGGAGCGAACAGG